AGGCAUUGUGUAUAUGUUGUUCCAAUGUUAACCACUAGGUGUCAUUAUUACAUAUUGUUCCUUUAAGGAGUGUUUUCUUCUGUGGUAUCUCAAGCCGCUCCUUAUGAUUAGUUCCUUGCUCCUCAUCUUGUUUAGUAACCAGCCUUCUAUUAUCAUCUUUAAAGGGUCCUGCCUGCAAGAAAUCGGGAACUGGUUCCUCGCCUGAAGACUUUUUAAAAUCUCAAAUCAAAUCCGACUACAGGCAGCUCCAAGCCUCAACCUGUCUGCCUUCCGACGCCACUAGGAUCUUCAAGCUCACACCCUGGAUCCAGACCACCCAACCCAAACCUCAUCUACAAACCAAUGUUCCUGUAUUCCCCGAGCCGGCUACAGUUCCUGCGGAACAAGAUCACUUCUCACUAACUUCAAUAAACGGUUAAACUUU